rnacentral:lncRNA from 1 species
CAGGAGUGUCGAGUAUUAGUCCUCUUGCUUGCUUAUUGCUUUUUAUCAUCUCAAAAACUUGGUGCUAAUUUCUAACAUUCAACAUUUAUGGACUUCCAGGAACUCAUAAAUGUCACAUCAGGCUGCCUCUUGGUGAAUUUUUAAUCAACAGGGAGAAUUUCAGCUACAAAUAGACCAAGAAUCAAGAGGCCCGCUAUUGAUCAGUCAAAGUGGCACUUAUGAACCUGAGGUUGAAGCAGUUUGGAUAAAAGGAUUCUGGGCUUUCUAUGGCCCCAGAGACAUCUUUUUCCAUCAAGUCCAGACUUGCUGAUCAGUGCAGCUGAGAACAUGUUGAAUUUGAUGUGCCUGUGGAUAUUUGAGUCUGGAACAUUGAAGACAAGUUUGGUCUGGAGAUGUAGACUGGGGAUAUCUCAGCACACAGAUGAUAACUGAAAUGAUGGAGCGGAUGAUAUAACCUGGAGAGAAUCUGGUGUGGGAAGAGUCUUCCCUGAGGUGGCCGAAAGAUGUAAUUCUUACUCCAAAGACUGAAAUAGAGACAAGAGAAGCUGAAGUUACAGGGUUUUGUCAUUGGGAAGACAGUAGAGUGUGUCAUAUCCCAAGAGUGAAGCAAGGACAAACCAAAGAACAACUGGGAAGAUCUGGGAGAAAAAGGGCCUGUGCUGAGUGCCACAGGGAACAGCAUUUAGCAACAUCAAGCAGGAGAGGCAGAGAAAGCAGCAAUAACUCCACAUAUGACUUGGAAAUUGGCUCAGUCUCGUGGCAGGAGAUGUGUGUUUUUAUGGUGUUAAGUGUGAAGGAGUGA